GGGGGCGGCUAUGUGGGAGCGGAGCGCGAGCUUCCGCAGGAGGGAGAUACUCGCGAGCUCUGGUGGCGAAGUGACAUUUAGUAAUAGUUCAUCUUUUACGAUUGUCAAAUUUUACUAGGGCCUGUCUCUCGCCGUUGUGGAAAGGGUCCUUUGAAGGGGAAAAAAGGAAAGUGAAUGGCGGAAGCCUUUUGCAGCUCCUCCCCUCCUGCCGGCGCGCGCAGCAUGGGCGGGGAACGUCCGUCUUGCGCCGGAUACGUCAUCCCGUCCUGCGCACGGGGCGGAGCGGGGCGGAGUCUCUAGGUCUAGGGCGAGCCUGCGCAGAGCGUGGGAAAGGCGUGCUGUGUGGCGUCUGACGUAUCUGUGGAGACAUCUUAAGUUUCCCUCCCUGGGCAGGAGGAAAAAGAAGUGCAGGUUUGCUUGGCUCAUCGCCGGUUUUUCCGGCCCCGCUGCAGCGGUCUCCUUGUAUUCGGCGAAGUGAAUGUCCCGGCGCGGUCCCGGCGCGGUCCUUGCGGAGCAGCAGCUGCCCCCGCUCCUCCCCAUUCCGGGCUCCAGCCGACCCCGCGGGCCAGGAAGCGGUUCUGUGGCGGUAGCCCUGGGGACCGGUGGCCGCCUGGCGCUACACGUGGGCACGUUGUCUAAGAUUUACUCCACCCUGAGAAAAAACAAAAAGCAAAAAACAAACUUCGGAAAUUUUGAACUACAGCGCCCUGUGUUGGUAUAAGUUUUAGGGGACCUGGACUCUUUAGCAAUAGCUGCGAAUAUAUAAUUACAAGGCAUUUUGUUAGUUUUAGCGCUACAAUAGUUACAAUGAGGAGUAGUUGUUAUUUUGAGGAACAAGUGGUUCCUGCUAACGGUAUUCAUUAUCUGGGUCUUAACUGAGUUAAUUUUAGGGAUUGAACAAUGGUUUUUAGAAGAGCCUAGUAACUACCCGGUAUAGAUCAGCUCUGCUGGGGCUGAAUAAGAAAGAUCUAUACUGGAUUAUCAAAAUCAGUUUAUCUGUAUGAUUCUCAACAGUUAUUUGGUUGUAAAAGACAGAAUCAUCCUUUUGAGAAGCCCUGUUGAGGUUACUGUUUUGUCCUUUGUGAUGUAACAAUUCAAACUUUGAAAAAAACCUUAGGACAUUUGGAUAAUAGAUUUACUGUUAAAGUGAUUUUUAAAUGAUAUUACAUUGAAUACAGAUUGGAAGAUUUGUCUUCAAAGCCUUGUACAGAGUGACUACUUAAGAAUCGUGGCUGCUACAACUGAGGACGUUCUGCCACCUUUGGCAAUAAUUUGAUUUAACUUGCCUUCAAGCGCCUCAAAACUCCAGAUGUUGUGAAGUUGUGAUUAGAAUCUCAAAUGAGGAUUUCCUAAGAAAAGAGUUUGGUGUAAUUGGUCUGGAAAUGUCAGCUCUGCUAAAUGCUGCUGAAUUGCAAACUAGGCUGGUGCAGUGAUGUUCCUGCCACUCAGCUGGAUGACGGCACCUGCAGCCCACCGCUGUUCUAAGCGAGCAUGCCAGAAAGCUUGGAGGACCGCAGCUGCCCUUUCAGAGUAAAAGCAUCCUCUGGGUAGCUAAAGCUCGGAUUUCUUUCUAAGCAAGGAAUGAGCUGUAAGCCAGGAGACAAGCCUGAGGCCGCGAAGUCACCAGGGAUGGCAGAAUCUUCUGAAGGACUGGAGGUGGCCAGGGCUGAGGUCAAGGCCCCAGUGGAGGCUACGGGCAAGAGGCUACUUUUUAUUUGUCCCUGGAUAUGAGUAUUCCUGUGUAUGUUUGGGGAAUUUUGAACAGUGCAAGCUGAGUAAUUAAGGAGUAGAAAAGCCACUAUGUUCGAUCUGAUUCAGGAGAAUGGCUCAGUCUCACCAUGCUUAUUCCUACAAAUUUAAACCAAGUGGACGGAAAAGAGACCAAGAGAAAAAAAUAAGUGGCUUAAUGACCCAACUUUACCCAGAGAAUGGAAAAUAAAAUGCAAGAUUCCAAACCCUGCCCUUCCAUUUCAUCUUCAUUUUUGAAAAAUACAGGAAAAGGUGGGCUGUUUUGCCUUCCUACGAUGGACGAUGAUCUUGAAGGAGAAACUUGGCAGACUUUUUCCAUUCCCUGGGGCUUCGGCCAGGCAGUAGAGGAUGAAGGAGAACAUAUAUGCCAGGGAAAAAAAUCACCUCAGCAAAAAGUAAUUGAUGAUGCCACAGGCAGCGCUGUUGGAGGUUCAAGUUCUCAAAUGAUGGGGCAUCAUUCAACAAAUUCAAGAAACCCUAAUCCAUCAGUGUUGAAAAGGAACAACAUGCACAGAAAAUAGCAGUUUUCCUUUCCAGCUGGUGUGUGCAUGUUUGCGUGCGCACGCGUGCGCGCGUGUGUGUUGCCAGGGACCAUUUGGAUUUUAAAGGCUGAAAAAAAGACAAUGGAAUGCAGGACUGCAACCAUUUCCUUUCCAAGGAACAUUUCCUGUCCAGCAAGUAAGAUGGAACUGAAUGCUAAAUAUGUUGAUUGAAGACGAGUGGAACAGAAGGAGCAGAGAUGCAUGGACAAGCUCAUUUGUGUUGGAUCUGACCGGUGUUUUCCUUAAGAAGGUAGGGGGAGUCUAGGCCAAAAUUGGUAAGCCUCAAGCAAGGAACUGGAGGGAAACUGGUGACUCCUUUUUUUUUUUUUAAAGAUUUUAUUUAUUUAUUUGUCAGAGAGAGAGAGCGAGCAUGAGAGUCGGGCAGAGGGAGGAGCAGGCUCCCUGCUGAGCAGGGAGCCUGAUGUGGGGCUCGAUCUCAGGACCCUGGGAUCAUGACCUGAACCAAAGGCAGACACUUAACUGACUGAGCCACCCAGGCAUCCCAAAGCUGGUGACUCUUUUUUUUCUUUUUUAAAGAUUUUAUUUAUUAGAGAGUGAGCGAAAUAGUGAGAGAGAGAGAGAACUGUUGGUGGG